rnacentral:lncRNA from 1 species
CAUUCCUCCUUGUCCCACUCCCUGCCACACUGCCCAUGUGACUGUUUAUCAUAGCCUUAGGGCAAGGACAUCUUUGCCUUUCAUCCGUGUCACCCCUGGAGAUGUCUAGAGAGGGAUCCGUGCAGAAUCUCUCUGGGGCUGCUUCUUUUUGAUGAGGGUACAGUUGAACAGAACCUUCAAAAAGGUUGCAGAAAGAAAUAAUCAGUCCUGGAUGCAUCUCAGUUGCCCUAAAAACCAUUCCAAUGAAGCUAGAAUUACAACAGUACAACAGCAGGAAUGUAAAUGAGCUCAUUUUUCCUUUUGUUCCAACUACAAUGACUGUUCAUUUUUGCUUCGAUUUUUAUUAUCUUUGGGUCUUAAAUCUGCUCACAACCAUGUGA